rnacentral:rRNA from 1 species
AGAACGAACGCUGGCGGCAGGCUUAACACAUGCAAGUCGAACGGUUGUAGCAAUACAGCAGUGGCAGACGGGUGAGUAACACGUGGGAACCUUGCUAGGGGUACGGAACAACUCAGGGAAACUUGAGCUAAUACCGUAUACGUCCGUGAGGAGAAAGAUUUAUCGCCCCUAGACGGGCCCGCGUAGGAUUAGGUAGUUGGUGAGGUAACGGCUCACCAAGCCUACGAUCCUUAGCUGAUCUGAGAGGAUGAUCAGCCACACUGGGACUGAGACACGGCCCAGACUCCUACGGGAGGCAGCAGUGGGGAAUCUUGGACAAUGGGCGCAAGCCUGAUCCAGCCAUGCCGCGUGAGUGAAGAAGGCCUUCGGGUUGUAAAGCUCUUUUACCAGGGACGAUAAUGACGGUACCUGGAGAAUAAGCCCCGGACAAACUUCGUGCCAGCAGCCGC